GGGGAAACGAAACAGAUGCAGCCACAAUGGAGCUGGUAGGAGCAUUCACAAAACCGGGUAAAAUAAGCUAAUCACUCAAAGUGAGAAAUGGAGCAGAAAAAGAUGGCAGCUAUGAAUCAGAGCCCAUCUAGAGAAGUGCCCCAGAGAGGGCUGGCAGAUUCAGAUCUUAGCACAGUGAUGUCCAAAAUGACAAUUAAUAAACACCAAGCCGAUCCUGAGUGUGAGAACAUAACACCGACUUCACCUGUAUCGAGCUGUGUGUCAAUGAAAAGUGACCAUUCAAUGAACCCUCCACUGAAGUUUCAGGAAGAAUCAUCAAGCAUUCCCGGGGGAAAACCACUUUCGCCUGUACCGAGCUGUCUGUCAAUGAAAAGUGAUAAUUCAAUGAACCCUCCACUGAAAUUUCAAAGUGAAACAUCACAAGUGCACAGGGGAAAACAAGCUUCGCCUGUACCGAGCUGUCUGUCAAUGAAAAGUGAUAAUUCAAUGAACCCUCCACUGAAAUUUCAAAGUGAA
ensembl:lncRNA